rnacentral:rRNA from 1 species
UACGUAGGGGGCAAGCGUUGUCCGGAUUUAUUGGGCGUAAAGAGCGUGUAGGCGGCCUGAAAGGUCAGCUGUGAAAACUCGGGGCUCAACCCCGAGACGUCGGUUGAAACCAUCUGGCUAGAGUCCGGAAGAGGAGUGUGGAAUUCCCGGUGUAGCGGUGAAAUGCGCAGAUAUCGGGAAGAACACCCGUGGCGAAGGCGGUACUCUGGGACGGUACUGACGCUGAGACGCGAAAGCGUGGGGAGCGAACAGG